UUAAGUCAGGCAACGAGCGAGACCCGUACCCACAGUUGCCAGCGGCUACUCCGGCAGGCUGGGUACACCGUGGGGACCGCCUCUGCUAAAGAGGAGGAAGGAGCGGGCGACGGUAGGUCAGUAUGCCCCGAAUUCUCCGGGCUACACGCGGGCUACAAUGGAUGGGACAAUGGGCUCCGACACCGAAAGGUGAAGGCAAUCUCUUAAACCCAUUCUUAGUUCGGAUUGAGGGCUGAAACUCGCCCUCAUGAAGCUGGAAUCCGUAGUAAUCGCGUUUCAACAUAGCGCGGUGAAUACGUCCCUGCUCCUUGCACA
rnacentral:rRNA from 1 species